UGUGGGAGCGGGCUUGCUCGCGAAAGCGGCGGAUCAGACAAAUCAAUUGUGACUGAUAUACCGCCUUCGCGAGCAAGCCCGCUCCCACA
rnacentral:antisense_RNA from 1 species